GAUGAAGAACGUAGCGAAAUGCGAUAAGUAAUGUGAAUUGCAGAAUUCAGUGAAUCAUCGAAUCUUUGAACGCACAUUGCGCCCGCCAGUAUUCUGGCGGGCAUGCCUGUCUGAGCGUCAUUUCAACCCUCAUGCCCCUAGGGCGUGGUGUUGGGGAUCGGCCAAAGCCCGCGAGGGACGGCCGGCCCCUAAAUCUAGUGGCGGACCCGUCGUGGCCUCCUCUGCGAAGUAGUGAUAUUCCGCAUCGGAGAGCGACGAGCCCCUGCCGUUAAACCCCCAACUUUCCAAGGUUGACCUCAGAUCAGGUAGGAAUACCCGCUGAACUUAAGCUUAUCAAUAAGCGGAGGA
rnacentral:misc_RNA from 1 species